UACAUAGGCCCCAAGCGUUAUCCGGAAUUACUGGGCGUAAAGAGUUCGUAGGCGGAGAAACAAGUCAGAUGUUAAAUGUAUGGGCUCAACCCAUUACUUGCAUCCGAAACUGUUUCCCUAGAAUUAGGGAGAGGUAAGCAGAACUGUAUGAGUAGGGGUGCAAUCCGUUGAUACAUACAAGAAUACCAAAAGCGAAGGCAGCCUACUGGAACUAUAUUGACGCUGAGGAACGAAAGCGUGGGGAGCGAAAAGG
rnacentral:rRNA from 1 species